rnacentral:rRNA from 1 species
AGUGAACGCUGGCGGUAGGCUUAACACAUGCAAGUCGAACGGCAGCACAGUAAGAGCUUGCUCUUACGGUUGGCGAGUGGUGGGUGGGAGAGGAAUACAUCGGAAUCUACUUUUUCGUGGGGGAUGACGUAGGGAAACUUACGCUAAUACCGCAUACGACCUACGGGUGAAAGCAGGGGAUCUUCGGACCUUGCGCGGUUGGAUGAGCCGAUGUCGGAUUAGCUAGUUGGCGGGGUAAAGGCCCACCAAGGUGACGAUCCGUAGCUGGUCUGAGAGGAUGAUCAGCCACACUGGAACUGAGACACGGUCCAGACUCCUACGGGAGGCAGCAGUGGGGAAUAUUGGACAAUGGGCGCAAGCCUGAUCCAGCCAUACCGCGUGGGUGAAGAAGGCCUUCGGGUUGUAAAGCCCUUUUGUUGGGAAAGAAAAGCAGCAGGUUAAUACCCCGCUGUUCUGACGGUACCCAAAGAAUAAGCACCGGCUAACUUCGUG